AUUAUAUAUAUUGCUUACAAAAUUGUGUAUUAAUGUUAUUAAUAUCGAUGAUCAUCAGCAUUUUAACACAGUAUGGAUUUAUAUAAUGACUUUUAGGCCACGUGUCUGCGGAUAAGACUCCGAAGAAAGCGUGAAAUCUUUAUUGAAGUUACUGAAAAGCUCACUGCGAGACGGAGGUUCCCUUCAUGCCGACGGUAUGACUAGAGCCUUCUCCGGCGCCAUUUCCGGCAAUGGCAGUGGCCCGGAUACGACUGCUCUCGAUGCAGCGAUAAGAAUAAUUGAGAACAUCCUGGCCACUGGCGACACGAAUAAACAUCUCGUGGAAACCCUCAAGAAAUUGAUCAACUUCCGAGACGUCGUGAAGAAUAGACAGCAGCGCAACGGAAGUCGGGCGAACGCGGCUCUGAAUUCAGAACGAGUCUGAAUGGAAAAUGAGAGGUCACUAGCACAAGGCCAAAAAUCGGAACCGGCUGUUGCUGUGCGCGACUUCCAUAACAAGAACUGCUUCAAGCUUGGAAAGAUCUGCGGCUUCUACCGAGACUCCUGCUGCGCGCGCGAUACGGAAUACGGUUCAAACGCGCCGCUCUGCUGCAUCAGGCUUUCCGGCGGCGGAAAUUUCCUCCUGAGUGACCGUUACGGGUACUGCGUGCCGAACUACGAAUCUUACGCGUGCGAACAGAUGCAGAUGAUGUACAAACUUUGGCAGCGUUAGGCGUCAUUUGCACCGGAAAUAACGCAAUUUUUACGUGUAGGCGCCUGCUAGCGCGGUCUGCUUUUUCUUGUCGAAAGCUUGUUUGACAGCUCUUGAAACGUUGUGCUUCACAUGUGUUUUUUUUGUGGGGGUAUUUCAAGAAGUAUACUCCAUAUGAUCUGUGUUCACUAAGUAUCAAUUGUAGAACGCUAAUAAUGAUUUUGUUGUUCGAAUUAUUAUUAAAAUUAAUUUUUAUUAUUAUAAAUGUAAAAUCGUAAUUAUUCUGUGACAUGAACAGGUUCUGUAAAAGUGUGAUAAACCUGUGACAUGAACAAGUUCUUUAAACUCUUUUUGCAUUAAUUUCGUGGGUUUACCGAUCCUCAAAUGUAAGAUCGCAACAAUAAGAUGUUGUUAAUGGAUGUUGUGUUUUUUUUAUGUGCUUUAUGUUGUUUUUAUUAAGGGGGGGGGGGGUUCCGGUGGAAGGCGGGUUGAUUAUAAUUCACUGAGUUUAAGCGUCCAUAAUUGUUGUUUAACCACGAAAUUUAAUUCUGACAAAUAUCCAGUGUAAAUGUGUUCACAGUAUGUGCAGUUUGUCUAAAAUUGCGUGUGUUCUGUGGAUAUUGCUCAAUACAUUCCUAUUUGAAUUGUAGUUUAGAAAUGUUGUCCUUCUGAGGUGACAACGUACAAUGUACACAGUUGAGCCUCGCUCUUGGAAAACGGGGCUUAACGCGUGCACGAAAAGUAUCGUAAAGAUUAGUCUGUUCAAACUGCACUUAUCAGUGACGACACUGUCCGCUGUAAAAUACAUAUACAGUCUUAAUAUUCCCCCUGAACUCUGGGUAACAAUAAUAAUUUAUAUCUCAAUAACAAAAUAGUUCACGGACCGAACAGCGCUUCAUUAGAGACUUGCAUCUACUAGAAAUGUUAUAUAAUUAUUCAAGCAUUUUCACUAUUUAUUAUGCUUUAUGUUCCUGAUCUUUGUUCGCGGCCCUUACGAAUUAGAAAGUAAAUACAACACAACUCCUUUCACGGUUUUCAAAGAACUCUAAUUUACUUAAGUUACAGUUACAUGUACUGUCAAUAGUGUAUGAUGCAAAUAUAAAGUGAAAUUGAAAUUUCAAGUUGUUGCAAGUAUCUGUAUUAUAGCGUCAUGGUACGAGCAUGACACUUACAAUUUAAAACAAUCUUAGUUUGAUUGCGUAUUCCACUCAGGCAUAAUAAUCAGAUACUGCUUAAACGUCGAACAAUACAAAGACUGCAACCAGUAAUUAACACUUGAUCAAUUGUUCACGCGCAAUUCGAAAUAAGACAACAUUCUAUAAUUUAGUCAAACAGUCUGUUUACCAAACUAUUAGCGUUUACGAUAUCUAGUCCGUGUUUAUUAAGUGAACCGUCCUAAAACAAAGUCAACUUAAAUACAUGAAUAUCGGUGUCAGUUGCAUACAUACCCCAUACCGCCGUCAUAUGAUUAAAUCGGGAUGUUCUAAAUAUAUGAUAAAUGCAGAUAAUAACUGUUAACAUCAAAUAUCGGUAAGUCUAUGAACACGUCGAGGACGAAUGGUAGUUCAUACAUCUGUUAGAUGUUUUGCUUCUUAGUCAAACAAAUUGUAUUAAGUUCGUCUGCAUUUCAUCGAUUAAAUGAGAACUUGUAAGCGGUAUAUAAGCUGAAACAAAACUAUCACUGACUGGCAAUAGGCAUCUAGCCAUGGAUAAAUUGCUACAUGCCUUACAACUAGUUUAUCCGUCUAGCCAAAAUGUACUUCGAUAGUUUGAUAUUGAGUAAAUGUAAUAGCCCGUGUUCACAUUUUGUCACAAUCAUAUACUAUACGCAUUUGUAUUGCAACCUUUCUAACAACUUUCAAUUGAGUACAUGCUAUAAUUGCAUGCAUUUUACCGGUCUUCAAAUCAUGUAACUGUAUAGCAAGUCAAAAUGGGGGAAAUACAUCGUAUAUAAGGUCACCAGAGGAUGGCCGGUCAAUAUGUGUAUUAAAUUACAAAGUCCAAACGGCUGAAUGUCGUUUAUCGAGCUGACAAUUCAUACAUAAUAUCACAAGGUAGACGCAUGAUGAUUUAAAUUACAAAGUCCAAACGGCUGAAUGUCGUUUAUCGAGCUGACUAUUCAUACAUAAUAUCACAAGGUAGGGGCAUGAUGAUGCCAUUUUGCUAUCACCUAUAUGCGUAGCUAUCGUCUUUGCCCUUAAUUUAUAAUAUGUGUGCUUGUAAGUGUGCAUGCUAUACUCAAAUGGAAUUCGAUUGAUAUCACAUAUACAAUCAUAUGAUUUAAUUACGAUUAAUAAUUAGCGUGCGCGCAUGCGCUUGUAGACAGGCUUUUGACAUGUAUGCUAAGUUUAAAUACUACUCAAAACCAAAAACCGGAAGAAUUCGUUGACUCUGUUAAACAUCUUUAGAUGAAAUAAAGGUUAUGGACAAAAAAUUGUUAUCAAUAUAAAAUAUGAUAUGCAAAAGCAGAGCAAUAAUUAUGAAAAUAACGCGUUUGUCUAUAGCAUGCAAGACAUUUUUAAUCAAUGGCGCUGAGGUCAUUAUAUCAAUAUACGCUCUGUCGUAAUGUGAUCAUGUUGAACAUGUUUCUUGUUGUUCAUUUCAAAACCCAAUUUCAAAACUCUUCAAGUUGGAAUGCAAAUAAGUAUUUGGAAAAACAAUUGUUACGCUGAUGUUAUAUUUCAGUCCUUUUAUAUAUGCAUAUUCAAUAUAAACAUGUCUCUUUGCACGUACACAUUUUAUAUCGACCGAUAAAAUGCUCUUGUAAAUAUCAAAAGAGUAUCGCGUGAUAGAGAUUGUGUCUCCACCUUAAAGCGGUAGAUACAUUUCUGCAAACUGUAGCCUCUGUCAAGGGGAAAACAUUUUAAAUUAGACUUUUUACAAAGUUCAUUUCUAAAGAUCUUUAUUACAGCAACACUGCACAUAUACAUUUUUAAGGCAGGAUUCUAUUUAUAUUAUACAUAGCGAGGGUUGGACAUAUAAAUAAGUGAUUAUUUUGUAAUAAUGUAUUGUUUGUUGACACAUUGAUUUUAAUGUACUUAUUGCUCCGUCGUAGCAAUUUUGUUUUGAUUGAAGGUUCAUAUCUUAAAAAAUACACUGACGUGAAUUGAUUUCCCCAGUUUAUUUCAUUGUGUUCCGUCUGUUUUAUUUGUAGGGUUUGGUCGCGUGUUUUGCACGGUUUGGCAAAUUGAUUUUUUGAUUGUAUAUGUUUUCUUUCCUGCUGGUGCUGGUAAACUUUAAUUUUAUUAAAAAUUUAUGUAUU